GACGAACCGUGCGAACGUUAUUCGGAAUCACUGGGCGUAAAGGGCGCGUAGGCGGCUUUAUAAGUCGGGGGUGAAAGCCUGUGGCUCAACCACAGAAUUGCCUUCGAUACUGUAGAGCUUGAGACCGGAAGAGGUAAGUGGAACUGCGAGUGUAGAGGUGAAAUUCGUAGAUAUUCGGCGGAACACCAGUGGCGAAGGCGACUCACUGGCCCGAUACUGACGCUGAGGCGCGAAAGCGUGGGGAGCAAACAGG
rnacentral:rRNA from 1 species